rnacentral:rRNA from 1 species
AUAGAUCUUAGCUCUGUACUUAGCUACAAAAUGCAAUCUAACAAAGUACUUAGCUUAAGAGUUAUUCAAGUAAGGCACAGCUUACUUGAAACAGGAUACAACCUUAAAUAACGGGUAAACGAUAAACCUAUUGCCUAAGUAGGCCUAAAAGCAGCCACCUUUAAAAAAGCGUCAAAGCUUAGUCACUUCAUGCCUCAAAUUCCUAUUUAAUAUCUGAACCCUCUACCCCUAUCAAGUAAUUUUAUACUUCUAUAAAAGAUAUUAUGCUAGAACUAGUAACAAGAAAAUGCCUUCUCCUAAAUGUAAGCAUAAACCAGAAUGGACACCCCACUGGUAAUCAACGUAAAUGCACCUUUUAUAGCAACGCUAACAAGAAAAACCUAUUAACUUAAACGUUAACCUAACACUAGAACAUUCCAGGAAAGAUUAAAAGAGAAAGAAGGAACUCGGCAAAAUUUAGCCCCGCCUGUUUACCAAAAACAUCGCCUCUUGAAAAAUAUAAGAGGUCCAGCCUGCCCAGUGACAAAGUUCAACGGCCGCGGUACCCUAACCGCGCGAAGGUAGCAUAAUCACUUGUUCUUUAAAUAGGGACUAGUAUCAAUGGCAUCACGAGGGCUGCACUGUCUCCUUUCUCCAAUCAGUGAAACUGAUCUCCCCGUGAAGAAGCGGGGAUUUUGAUAUAAGACGAGAAGACCCCAUGGAGCUUCAAGCAACGAAUUUACCUUUAACUCGUAUUUCUACUAAUUUCAAAAGCCUAAAUUCUAGCUUUUGGUUGGGGGGACCGCGGAGUAUAACCCAACCUCCGCAACUAACGGGCUUUGCCCUAAUCCAUGAGCCACACCUCUAAGAAUCAAUAAAUUGAUGCCUUUGACCCGAAAACUCGAUCAAUGGACCAAGUUACCCUGGGGAUAACAGCGCGAUCUACUUUGAGAGCCCCUAUCGACAAGUAGGCUUACGACCUCGAUGUUGGAUCAGGGUAUCCCAGUGGUGCAGCCGCUACUAAAGGUUCGUUUGUUCAACGAUUAAAACCCUACGUGAUCUGAGUUAAAAACCGGAGAGUGAUUACGCUACCUUUGCACCGGUCAGAGA